GAUGAACGCUGGCGGCGUGCCUAAUACAUGCAAGUCGAGCGAACAGAUAAGGAGCUUGCCCCUUUGACGUUAGCGGCGGACGGGUGAGUAACACGUGGGUAACCUACCUAUAAGACUGGGAUAACUUCGGGAAACCGGAGCUAAUACCGGAUAACAUUUUGAACCGCAUGGUUCUAAAGUGAAAGAUGGUUUUGCUAUCACUUAUAGAUGGACCCGCGCCGUAUUAGCUAGUUGGUAAGGUAACGGCUUACCAAGGCGACGAUACGUAGCCGACCUGAGAGGGUGAUCGGCCACACUGGAACUGAGACACGGUCCAGACUCCUACGGGAGGCAGCAGUAGGGAAUCUUCCGCAAUGGGCGAAAGCCUGACGGAGCAACGCCGCGUGAGUGAUGAAGGGUUUCGGCUCGUAAAACUCUGUUAUUAGGGAAGAACAAAUGUGUAAGUAACUGUGCACGUCUUGACGGUACCUAAUCAGAAAGCCACGGCUAACUACGUG
rnacentral:rRNA from 1 species